AUUUCAGGCACCAGAUAGUAUUUGGUCUCCCUCUUUGCUUCUGUCAUCACAACUGUCCGGGAGGCCAAAAGAACAUGCUGUAGAAACGUGGAAUCAAAUGACUGGUUCAUUUCCUGGGCAAUGGCGGCAACGGCCACAAUUAUGGAAUGCUGGUAUUCAGUCCGAUUUGCAGCAGCGAUUGUCAUAUGAAUUUGAUAGGCCUCUUCAUACUGAACGACUGAUUGCAGGAGUACGCGCUUCUACAUCUGCACAGGAGAAAAAGGUUGCAGAAACCUCUGAGAGACUAGCAUCUUGCAGUCUGAAUCAUGUUGUGCAUAAUGGAACUGUUUCUCUGGAUGCUUCUUCUGCAUUUAACAUGUACAGAGAGGAAGGGAAUGCCAUGCAAGAUUCUAGCCACUAUUUAGAACGAUAAUGCCCCAGGAUCUUCAAGAAAAGAUCAGACAUUAAUUGCUCAGUCUCAAAGAAUGAUGCCUCCUCCAUUGCCGAAACAACUCCCCCCCAAUUCUCACAAUAUGAAUGACGCCUCUGUUGAAGUGCGAAGCGGAAGACCUCGAGUGGAUGCCCGGGCUCGAGCACAAUUACUUCCUCGUUACUGGCCUAGGAUUACAGAUCAAGAGUUACAACAAAUGUCUAGCGAUUCAAAUUCUGUCAUCACCCCUCUGUUUGAAAAGAUUUUAAGUGCUAGUGAUGCUGGUCGUAUUGGACGUUUGGUGCUUCCCAAGAAAUGUGCUGAGGUGGAGGUGGGUACUUAAGCAUACACAUGAACACACAAAGAUACACACAAGUACAUAUGUACACACACAUGCACACAUAUACAUGUGUGUGUGCG